rnacentral:lncRNA from 1 species
GAGGAUCCAUUGGUGGCUUCCUAGAGGUCGCCUCCUUGCAUAGAAUUCUUCUGCUGCCGUGCCACUUAAAAUCGAACUUUGGCCCUUCAAACUCCAUUCUGAAAUUGAGAAAAUACAUUUGCACCAAACUACAUGGUUUAUUCGAAGAAACCAUAGCUUGUUUACAUCUUCUAAUGAUAAGCUUCUUCCAAUUAAUUGAUUGAAGCUCAAACUCUUAUUUUUGGAUUCCACCUGCUCCUUUGAGGUCUCUGCUUGUGCUUUCCUUUUAUUUAUAUGACGUUUGAUCUCAAGAAAGUAUUUUGUUUGCACGUGAAGAUAUUUUCAUAUCAUGUUAUUCUACAAGAUAGUCUAUUUUAUUAGGAUGAAACUAGUAUACAUACCCGCGCUAUGCGCCGACAAUUCUUAUAUAAGUAAUCAUUAAAAUAGUAUCCCUGAAAAAUCGUAAAAACUCUUCCUGCAAUUAGUUUUGUAUCAUUAUUGAGAAAUGAAAGAUUUCAUUGAGAUAAACUAUCUCCAUAUAUACACUUGCAUUUGACAACAUUAAUCACAUCAUCCAUAACUGAUACUCCUACAACACCAUACCACUACAUAAAAGCAGCCGCAAGAUAUAUCAACCAUCUUUUAAUUCGCACUAUAUAAAUUAUUCUUACAACUGAUCUUUGAAUAUCUUGAGAACACUAAUAUUGACCUGUAAAGCUCAUUAUCGGAACAAUUCAUCAUUCUGCAAAUUGGACAUCCGUACUAUAUUCCAAUAACUAUCAAGAGCACCCUAAAAAAACAAAUCAGGAAAAAAUCAUAUAUUGAAAUCUUGCUCAAUUAGUCAAUGAGUGAGGAAGAUCUUAUUGAAUAAACUCAAGGAUUUACUAUAACGAAUCACGUUGUACACUGAGCUCCAUAAAAUAAUUUUUUGCAAAAGGAGAAGAGUCUUAUUUUAUGACAAAUAAGAUAUGGAUACAUAUAAAUAAAGAAACUUAAAAUUCAUUUUUGUCAAUAAAUAACUUCAUUUACACAGAUUUCAAUGAUAUUCACAGUCUAUAGUUAUCUAAAGAGUUAAUACAUAAAUAAGACCUUAAACUUGACACCAAAUUAUAACUUUGACUUUAAACUUUGACAAUGCACAAUUAUGACCUUUAACUAUUCAAAACCGCACAAAUAUGACCUCGAUCCUACGUGGAAAAAUGCGUGUUCAACACGCAAAACUAGGCGCGUCCAGCUUAAAAUCUAAGGGCAUAAUACAUAAAUAUGACCCUAAACUUUGACAGUACACAAAUAUAACCUUUAACUAUUCAAAACUGUACAAAUAUGAUCUUUAAAUGACUUUUCACUAUUAUUUUUUCAUUAUUUUCGGCUCAAAGAUGAAAAUGACAUCUAAUUUCUUUUGUCAUUGCGAAAAAAGAGCAAUAUUGAAGAUUUAUUAAUUAGGUGGGUCAGCCUUAUACGAAAAAAAUCGCGCGGGUAUGUAUAUAUAUUAUAAAGCUGAGGGCGAAUUUAAGUUAUAUAAUAUAUCUAAAUAUUAUUUAUUUAAAUAUUAAAUUAAAGAUGAAAAUAUACUAAUAAUAAAAAAUUAUAGUUUUAAUAAAAUGUUAUUAAAUUAAUGUUAUUAAGGAUAGUAGUAGUAGUAUAUUAAAUUAACGUUAUCAAAUUAACGUACUUAAAAUGUUAUUAAAUUAACGUAAUUAAAAUGUUAUUAAAUUAACGUUAUUAAAACGUUAGUAAAUUAAUGCAAGGGGCGGGCUUACGUGGUUGCAUGGGGUUCACCCGAACCCCUUCAGUAAAAAAAAUUAUGGUGUAUACAUAUAAGGUAGAAAAUGUAUAUUUAUGUACGUAUAAUAAUGUUGAACCACAUGAAACAAGGCACUUAGAUAGCCCAGGGGUGUGAUUUGCUCUUCUUAGGCGGUUCCUUCAUCUUACUGCGCGAGUUCGAUUCCUGCUAAUGGUUGUUUUUUUUAAUUAAAAAAACUAGAUGCUGCUGCUAUAGAAAUAAAUAAAAUAAUAAUAAUAAUAAUAAUAAAAAUAAUUUUGUUUCAACAUAAAAAAUAAAACUUUGACAGUGCAUAAAUAUGACCUUUAACUAUUCAAAACUGCACAAAUAUGACCUCUCUCUAAGUCAGCCCUUUUAAUGAAUGGCACCGUGUGAUUGGAUUACCUUACCAUAUAGGCGCAAGUGAGACUCACGCAUGGGGUUGCAAAAUCGGAGAUCGUAUUUGUUCAGAUUUUGAAUAGUUAAAGGUCCUAUUUGUGUACUAUCAAAGUUUAAGGUCAAAGUUAUAAUUUCAUGUGAAGUUUAGGAUCAUAUUUAUGUAUUAUCUCUUAUAUAAACCAACCUUAGCAAAUGGAAAAAUGCCAUUCAGAUCUAAAACAAUUACACCCAUAAACUCGUGAAGAUGAUCAAAUUCCAAUGUUACAACUUCCUUCAAUCUUCUCAUCCAUAACAUAGAGUAAUAUGUAUCAAAGGAAAUCCUUAAUACAAUAGUUUAAAAACCAAUUCAAAAAUUGUGAAAACUUGAACCUCAAAAUACAUUUUCCCAUGUCUUCUACAGAAAAACGAAAAGGUUUAGAUACAACCAAAAAGUUCGAGUUUGAGAUACCCUCUAUGUGACAAGAGCCAAUUCAAGAAGUACCCACCAAAGAGUUGUAGAAUAAAAAAUCAAUACAAUAAAUAAAAAUAAAUGCUAAGUCUGCACCUAUGCAUUUUAAAUCAAAAGCUACAAUUAUAAAUAAUAUGUCUAUAAAUACAAACAAAUACAAAUAACAGAAAAGUUAAAACACCUAAUAACAGAAGCUAUAACUUAACAGAGGAGAAAAUUAUGGAAUGUACUAUUUACUUGAAGUGCUUGGACAUCAAAAUAGGAAAAAAGGUAUUCUGACCAUUAGAGAAUUUUGAGACUUCUGUGAGAGAGGUUCAUAUAAUAUUAAGAGUGAUACCUAAAAAUGUCUUCUCGAAUUAUGUGUCAUCCUCUGUCCUGCAAGAGAAAAUAAUCAGACAAAAACUUUUAUCAUGAUAGACACUUAAAUAUCAAAUAAUCACAACCUCUUUCAUUUGAGAAUGUCUCUCUUUCUUCAUAUUCUUGUUCGUGCUAUCGAGUCAUAAUGCUCCUCUUCCAUACUCUAAUUUGUGCUAUGGUGUCGCCCUUACUAAAGUAAAGUUAUCCCGAAUUCAUUUCUGACUAUGAUGUGCUCAGAUAUAUCUCAUUGUUGAGGUGAUGCAAGUGCAGAAGUUUAGAGUCUAAAUGGUAUGGUCCUUUCUGAUUGAGCCAUAUAUGAUUUUAAAAUUUGUGCGAGGACUUGAGAAGAGUUCGUUAGUGCUUCAGGGUGUAUUGAUUUUAGUGUGAAUUUUGAUUCUGAUGAAAUUGUGCUUUUCAGCCUGCAGUAUUAAGCAUAUUCAUUCCUUUUCAAAAAAAAAUUUAUGUUGCAUAUGUUAUGCUUAAGGGGGAAUGAUGUGUAGCAGAAUGUUGGAAUUGUAUUUCCACCCGAGUAGUAGUAUAAGUUAAAGUGACAGUGUCAUGACCUAUUGGUAGUGAUAUUGGACCAAGAAGUUGGUGAUGUGAAGUCACAAAGUUAGAAGUCAAAGUGAGGGUGACUUUUGUGUAAAUAAAUAUUUUAGUUGAAUAACCGAUGUUUGAGGAUGAUUUACCCCUUUAUAGUAAUAGACUAAUGUGGUAGCUAGUAGCAUGGGUGGAUUAUAUGGUAGUCUGCGGGGAAGUGUUUGACUCAGAUUUUUAUUUAUAUAGAGUAAGAUGUGUAUUUUUAGAUCUUUGAAUAUUGUGUAUCAAGUUUCGAUCUCUUGUAAUCUUGUUAUCAUUGUGUUGUUGAAACUAAAAAGUCUAGUGAAGCCGUGUGGGGUUCUUUCGAUUCACUAGCAUAGUUGCCUUGUCAUUUAUCUCAUUUUAUUGUUCAAAACACAAAAAAUAAAAUCUAGUGAAGCCGUGUGAGGCCUAUUUCGAUUCACUAGCAACUUGUUGUUCAUCUAGUUGUUCUUAUGUUGGUUGGAACUGGGGUUUAGAGGCGUAAUGGCAAGAAAAAUGGUAAGGACGAUUUAUUGAAUAUAUGCAUAACCGAAUCUUUUUGCAUGAGAUUGAGUUGGUAAUUAAGUGAUACGUCCUUGUGUGUUAGUUUAGUAGAAGGUAGAGAAGGAUUUAUUAGUCAAGGUGAAUUAUUGUUUGCUUGAAGUAUGAAAAUGGCUAUAUUAGCCAGUAAGUUAUAAUUAUAAAAAAAAAUUUGGGUUUACCAUUUUUUAUAUUUGACUUUUCCCCCCCCCCCCCAGACCUUCUUUUCAUUGGUAGUUGUAAACUAGUACUACUUAUGAGAAGGUAUGUAGUAGAUUUUUUAGGCAUUUGGGUAGAAUGUCCUAAUUUGAUGGACUAGUAUAUUAUGUUGCUUUCUUCAGUAGCGGUAGAUGAUUGAUGCUAGACUAUAAGAUUGAAUUUAAAUGUAGAAUGUGUAUGUAAGAAUAAUGGCUUAAGAUUAAUGAUGAAUGUUUUGUGAGAAUUGUGUGUAUGGUUGGGUUGUAAAUCAUGUUUAGCACUAGACAUUAAGUUUGAACAAUUGAUGUCCAUGGAGGUGGAUGUGAUGAUUUCUUGUUUAAUGAUACUAGUUAUAUGGAAGUGAUCUAAUAGGAUUGAACGAUGUAUGCAAUGGCUUAAGAUUAUUUUAUUCGUAAUGAAGUAUGAUGUUGUGCGUAUGAUGUAGAAGUAUGCCCAAGGUGAUAUGGAGUUGCGGAAUUUUCUAAGACUAUUACUUGUUGCGUGUGGCUAAUAGUACUGUUGAGUUGCUAGGUAGAGAAAGACUAGUAGAUGGUAUAUGAUGUUCUAAAUAACCAAGUUAAGGAAUUUUGAUAGAUAGUGUAGAGCCUUUUGAUAAGAUCUUGAUCCUCAUAGUAGAGAGAUAUAAGUUUAGAGUCGCGAUAUUGGUAGGCUAUGACAGAAGUAGAAUGAUUCAUCAGAGACUUGGUGACAUCCAUGUUAAGUUUUAGAAUAUAAGUUUGGGUUUUUGAAGAUUGAGCUAAUAAAAAUAAGAGUUAAAGUGCUAGAGGGUGUACACUCCAACUAUAGGGAUACUUAUGAAGACCCGAAGUUAGUAAGUGUACAAGUAUUAUAUGAUGACUAUUGGGGGCUACGGAAAGAUAGAGUGUAUCUCAGAAGGUAGCAUUUGCAAUGGGUUUUCCACUUCCAAGCGUAGUCAUUCAGGUUAAGUUCUAUUAAUUAUGUGUAUUGUCGUAUUCCAGAUCCCAGCGUACAAUGAGUGUAGUUCAAUUUAGAGUCUAGUAAGGGAUCUCUCAAACUUAAGAUGAUGGCUUAAGGCUAAGGGGCAGAUGAUAGAACAAGUAGCCAAGUUACGUUCUCAGAUUCUAGCAGAAAUGCCUGUUGAUAUAGAACACCAGAAGGUGAGAGUGAGAACCCAUUCCCAUCUUAUUAUUUUUCAGUUAUCCCAAUGCCUACUCAUGCCUUAUAUUUUAGUUCCAUGAUCAUAGUUCAUGUUCAUGCAUACGAUAGAAAAUCAUAUGCUUUUUCAAUUCCUAAAUGAGGAAUUCUAGUUCAUUCAGAAGUUGAAAUCACAUUCCAUAAGUUAUGAACUCCAACUUGAGGUUAUGCAACUCAUGGCACAUGUAUUCAUGCCUUAUAAUGUGCUCAGUUUCCACAACUCAUGCUACACGCCAAAUGAUUGGCUAGAUUCAGUUUAUAGCCAGGUAUGCCCUCGAUUUAGAUCACUUUGAUGAAUCCAUGAUGUUAAUUUACUAUUCCUUAGGCAUCAGUUAAGUGUCAAGUCUCGUAUAAUAUCCUUCCAUGCUUCAAGGUCUUAUAUUCUAACCUUUUGGUGACUCCUCCUUAUGUAAUGAUAGUGGUGGUGAGUAAAUGUUUCUUGUUGAUGAAAGAUCAUUGUAUGCUUGUUUUAAAUAAGGUCAUAAGUGAGAAAUAGGAUUUAGGGCCAAGUCGUUGAUAUGUGUGAUGGUUAGUGGAAAUUUGUGUGUGUAUGUUCUUAGGUUAGCGCAUAAGAGUUAUAUUGAUAAUGGUUUAGGGAAUACGUGAAGUAUGUCUUUAUGGGUGUUUUCCUUAAAGUUCACAUGUUGUCGUAAAGAUAUGCUUGAAUGACAUGUUGAGAUUUAAGUGGAGGAACGCAAUAUGCGCUAGCGAAUCCAUAGUAAGAGUUUAGAGUUGGUCAUUGAAGUGGUAAGGUGCGUUAUGCUCGGGGUUUAAUCUUUAAAAAGAUAUCAAAGGUUGAAUCAUAUAGUUUAGAAUAGUACCGUGGGUGGCAUGUUGUAUUUUGUGAUUUAGAGUUAGGCUUGAUCACGGUGAAAGAAUUUAAGCUACUGUAGGCAUUAGUAGAAAGAUUUGCCAGCGUCCAUAUGAGAAUUAUAAGUUGAAUCGAAUGUAUAUGGUAUUUGAAGGGGAUAGUAUAGUUAAGGGAGUAUUCUAGAAGUAUUCUAAGCCUUAAAGUAAGAAGUUGCAUUGCCUAAGGCUUGGAAAUUUUAUCCUAGUUUAUGAGUUAUAUUUUAUGAGUUAUAUGCCUAUAUUCCAUGCUAUAGAGUAGUGUCAAUGUUGGGAUCCUUUAUUGGGUGUCUUGUGUAACUCAUGCCCAAGAUUCAUUGUUCCAUAAUGCUACUAGAACUUAUUUAGAAAUGAAGUGUUGAAGAGAUACUCCAGUUAAGUAUAAGGGUCCAGCAUAAUUCAGUCUGUAUAGCUAGUAAUUCAGUUUAACAGUUAGGCAGACAAGUUACGGUGGAUUUCCACCUUUUCAUCCAGUCCUACUGUCCGAAGUCUCAGUCAUAUAAACAUCUCAAGGGAUAAUAAAUUCCAUCCAUGUAAGUUGCGAAUUCAGUUCAUUCAAAGCAUCAUGUUUCAGAUUCAGCUGCUUAGUCAUGACUCAGUUCAUAAGAGUUCAGCGCAUAAUCUCAAAUUUUCCCAAGAAUUUUAGCUCAGACAGUGUAAUACCCUGAUACGAUCUAAGUCCAUUAGUUUCAUGAUUCCUACUUACAUAAGUUAUCACUUAUCAAUUCAAUAUGUAUGAUUUGAUCAUGAACACUUCAAGGGAAUCCUAAACUCUCAGUAUGAAUCAGCUUCUUAAAGCAAGUAAAGUCAAGUCAGCUCAGAAUUCAGUUUCAUGAUAGAAUUCUUAAUGUUUUAGGUCGCCUAUAUCGUUUCUUAGAAGACAUAUCAUGUCCACAUUAUUCCAUACCUUAAAGACUUCAACAUUCCUACCCAUCAUUCGGGGACAAAUGAUCCCAAGGGGGAGAUAAUGUAACACCCUGUAUUUUGGGUUAGAACAAAAAUUGUCGUUUUUAUGCGUUGAUGAUCUAAAAGCCAUAAAUCCUAUGGAAAUUUGGCAUGUUAAUCAAUUAUGUAGUGUGGGAACCUAUUUGAGCAUGAAUUGAGAUCAUAGAGGUCCCCAAACUCAAGGACGAGUUGAAAGCUUUCUAUCGUUCGAGUUUGAGUGAACGUCAAAACUUGGGUCAAAUUCAAUCGGCCAUAACUCUUUGUAUAUUAGGAAUUAGGAGGACUACUAUAUAUUAAAUGAAAGGUCUUUGAGUCCUCUUUCUAGUCCCACUGGUUUCGCUUUAAUCCGAUAUCAGAGUAGAAAGUUAUGCUCAUUUUUACUUCAAAGUAUCUGUCUGCCAAAAUGUGAUGACGAGGCUGAUGACUUAUCAGAUGUGUGACGGCCCGUCAGACCUGGUCGUCAGACUAAGGCAGUGAAUGGUGAAAACCAGCCCAAAAUGAGGAACUGGUGAUGACUUAUCACCUGAGUGAUAACCCAUCAACCCUGGUCGUCAACUGAUGCAAUUAUGCAAUUUUUUUGGGUUCCUUAGGAGUAUUUUGGUCUUUUCCUCACUCCAAAAACCUUUCACACGAAUUAAAUCACCCCUUAAGUGUUAUUAAUCAAUCAUUAUCAGUUUUACAACAUCAAAAACAUCCUUUUCACUCUCAAAAUAAGAUCAAAACUAGGGUUUUCUCCAAGAACAAGAAAUUCAAGAAAAUCAAGCCUUAAGUCCAAGAUCUCCAAUAAAUAAAUCAAGAUCCGGGUUUCAUCCAUCAAGAUCUAAGUUUCACCUUUCAAAUCUUAUAAUUUGAGGUAUGCGGGGGUUUCCUAAAAUCUCAUGGGCAUAGAAAUUAUGAUUUAAAGAAUGGGGUUUUGGAUUUAUGAAUAUAAUAAUGUUUCAGAAGUUUUAACGGUAUUGUUUUGGUCUUUAGACCUUUAACCAAAUUGAUUUGAAAUUGUAUAUAUAUGUAAGCAUGUAUUUUAAGGUUGAUGAUUGAAUUGAGAGCAUGGCUCACGAAAAAUUCCUUUCUUAUUAUGAUUUUCUUUUUACUCAUGAUAUGCUAUGAAUUGUUUUGAAUGCAUCUUGAAAAGCAUGAUAUGAAAUGUCUUGAUUAAUGUUAUAAUUUGAUUUAUGGUUUUGAAUUCGAAAGAGAGGGUUGUGCAUGUUGAUAAAGGUUGAAUAUUCAUUUAAUGAAAAGAGUUGCAUAAUUUGUUAAGGAUUUCAUGACCACCACAUGCUUAUUGAAAAGAUGAGGAUUUUUGCAUAGUUUUGACUUAUGUUUUCGGAACAUGAAAUCUCUUGUACUAUUUACAUGCUUGGGUGGUCUGAACUAUGUUUUGAUGAAAGAUCAUGCUUAAUGCAUUAUGGCUCAGAAAACAUGACUUGCAAGUCUUGGUAUAACGAUACCAAAAUAGACAAUGCCAUAACAAACUCAGACAAACAUAGAAACCAUAUUUUCAUGACUUUAGAUUUCAGAAUGAUAUAUGUUUAAAAAUGGAUAAAAUUGGGCAUAAAGAGAUGUUAGGUGGUCCCCCGAAGAAGGCACGAGUUCAGAUAACUCAUUGCCCAAAACUGUGAUUUGCUGAUCCGGGUAUAUUAUAUUACGCUGGCCUAGUGCCCUGUGGCGAAUUAGACUCACACUCCAACCCUUGCGGCACACUUAGAUUGGAGUUUUCCCCGCCGAGUCAAUGGCGGACUCCAUAUAGCCCGUGGGGUUUUAGACUUGUAGGGGUAUACCACCUAACUUAGAAGUAAUACGUAGAUCAGAGAUUGCAUUGAUAGAAAGGUUUUUAUGAUUAUCAAAAUGAUGCCCAUGUGUUUUGAAAACUAUAUUAUGCAUGAUGUUUUUACAAAUUGCUCUCCAUUAAUUUAUUUAUAUAAAAUCUUUAUUUUGGAUUACUUUGCGUACCGGUACAAUUGUAUUAACCUCCCCUCUUCCUCCAGGUUCUGAGGUACAGUCUAGGGGUCCUGAUAAGCAGUAGAUUUCUUUAGGAGUGAAGAGUACCAGUUGGUGAGCCUUCUAUAUUUCAGAAGGACUAUUUACUUUCAGAAAUUAUGGUUUUGGUCUACUGGGGGCCUUGUCCCAGAUUCAAACAAGUUUUGAUGUCUUAUGUAGUAGAGAUUUCGCAGACAGAUAGAGAUGUUGUUUUAUGUUGAAAAACCUAUUCUAGUGUUAAACAAAUUUCAGAUUUAUGACCAUGUUUCCGUUUAGCUAUGUAUUUCCGCAUCUUCUUUUACAGUAUGAAUAUUGUGCAUGAUUACCAGAUACAGAAGAGCAUUCGGGCCUUCUUAGUUUGAAAUGCUCGUCACGGCCAGGGCCUCGGUUUGGGUCGUGGCACAAAUUCUAAUAGAUAUCAAAGUAGAUCUUGAUAGAUAUUCACUAUAAUGUAAAUACAUAUAUAACAAUAAUACUAUUUUCAAAUAAAAGUACAAAUCUACUACUACUAUUAGUAAAACUAGCUUUCCGUUCAUAUUGGGUCAAGCAGGUAUUUGCCGGUUCCAUUGAUCAAUUAAUUACUAAUUGUUUUUCUGCAUCAUCACAUUGUGGCUGGUGGACAGUACUCUUUAGCAUGUUAUUGGUUGUGAACAGGGAACACUUCCUUUGGGCGUAAUCUCUUCGAUCUGUAUUUGUUUGUAGGUUUGACAUUGUAUGCAUGUGAUCACAGAUAUAUUGUGUGGGGUUGGGAAGAUGACUGUAAAUAGAGAAGAAAGCUGACACUCGGUGGCAUCUGCUUAAAUCUUGAUGACGAAAGAGCUUAAAGCUGAGAAAUGUGUACCUUUGAAUUAUUAUAUAUUGGGUUGUAGCCUGUACGUUUCCAUGUUUUGUUGUGAUCGACCUUGAGGUUGUUACGUUGCUUUUGACAUAAAUACACAUUAUAUAGCAUUUUCUACAUCUACUACUACUGUGGAAUCACAAGCAAAGCUAAUUUUCCAACUUUUGAGUUUCUCAUGUUUUUUUCUGAAGAUCUCAACAUAUUACAAGUUAAUUCAAGACACUGCAUGCAAAGUUCUCAUUAUUGUACAUGAUUCUCUAUGAGCUACCAAUCUGUUGUGAGACAAUGAACCAAACCACAAUGGUGUACAUAAUAUUAACAACCUAUAUAACUGCGAGGAAAAUAUUUCUCCUCAAUCAAAAGUUUUUACUGCAUUUAUCGAUUAAACCUUUCAAAAUAAGCUGCUAGCUACUAAUUGAAAGAAUAGAGUUUGGAUUCACUUUUAUGUAUUGUGUGUCCACAAUCGUAUACGUCUGCUAUAGAGUUGAAGAUUUUAAUGAAGUGCUCCUAUCGUUUUUGGUUAAUUCCUGACCUAUUCAAAUGAAUAGUAGAAUAUAUCUUCCUUUCACUAAUUCUUCAGUUUCCCCUUAUGUUGUCCUGCAGUACUUGCUGUGACCCUUCUGUGGAAAAACAUUUAGACAUUCUCACUGGUAAGUUAUUCGUGUCCCCAAAAUUUUCUAUUGUCUUCUUGUUGGACUUGCAUUAUCAAAAUAGAUUUUUUGUUUCGUUUUGUUUAUGCAGACAGGAAAAUUGUUCCCUGCCGGCUUCUUUGCUACCAUUAGGUAUUACGUCUUCUUCUUUUCUCACUUCUCUUCCUAAGUAUCCAUUACCAGGUGCAACCGUGCAACAUUAUCAUUUACUUUGCUCUUAAACUUUUCAGUGCUCCAAUGUUUUGCUUCUACUCUUAUGUGAUACUGUUUGGAGGUAAUCCACCUCCCAAGAAGUUGAAGGCAUCUGCAUCAGACGCGUAUUAGUGAAAAUCUCAGAAGCUCUGCGCAUUCAAUAAUGUUGACAGUUUUGCAGUGAGCAAAUCUGUUAAUUUAUGCGAGUUUCAUAUACUGCUGGUAAUGAGGAAAAUGCGCGAUGUUUCGAUGAUAAUAUUGUUCUUGGAAUGUAAAAUUAUUUUGCUAAAUGCCAUAAGAGUUAGUUCAUUAGCAACUUAUUAAUGGCACAAUGAAUGUUAUAAUAGUUUGGAUUAUACAAAUUAUUAUGUAUGGAUCAUUUUAACUACCUAAACAUAGAAUACACACCUUUUUUUCCCUUCAUAUUUUCUCUUUCAAUCGGAGUAACUGGUAAAGUUAUUGUCAUGUGAUCAAGAGGUUACAGGUUCAAGACUUGGAAACAGUCUCUUGCAGAAAUGCAAGGUAAGAACUCUGCUACUGCCACAUCUGAUGAGCUCAGCCUUGUUGGUCCCCUCACUCGACGCAAAUUUAAUACCAGUGGUUGGGACGAAUCUGAAUACUUUACUUCUUUGGAGAAGGCAAAAAAGAGCAAAUUUCAUAUGACGGCUGAAGCUGCAACUCCUGGGGGAAAUUUGACGUCCUUGCUAUGCGAUGAAUUCUCUCAGUCUGGCGUCAAUUUUAGUGAAUCUGAAGAUUCGACUGAUUCGCCAGCCUCAACAAAGGUCAACGCCUUGAUGGACGAUGCAACUGAUAUGGAUGAGAAGUUCGCAAUAAUGGAACAAACCAUUGAAGUUUUGAAGAAAUCUGUCGAGGAUAAAGAUCUUCAAAUCGCUCAACUGAUGGACAAGUUGGAGUCCUUCACCCCUGGAGAAUCGAGCCAUGACCCUGCUUAUCCACCCGACUUUACUAAACAAAGUAAGGAUGUCAAUAAGUCACCUAGCAAGACUAAAUCUCAAAAAGAGAAACAGUCUACUUCGGUUGCUACUCUAACAGUUCAACAACUGAAAGAUAUGAUUACAAAUACAUCAAGGCACAAUAUGGCAGUCCAUCAUAAAGUUUCGUAGGAUACUCAAAGCCGUAUUCUAAGCAAAUCGAGGGCUUAUCGAUGCCAAUUGUAUAUCAACCGCCAAAGUUUCAACAAUUUGAUGGAAAGGGAAAUCCAAGGCAACACAUCGCGUAUUUCGUUGAGACUUGUAGCAGUGUUGGUACACAUGAUGAUCUUCUUGUCAAGCAAUUUGUUCGCUAUUUGAAAGGCAACGCUUUUGAUUGGUACAUGGACUUGGAGUCUGAAUCAAUUGAUUGUUGGGAGCAACUAGAAAGUUAGUUCCUAAAUCGGUUCUAUAGCACCCGUCGUAUGGUCAGCAUGAUGGAGUUGACAAACACAAGACAAAGUAAAGAUGAGCCUGUAGUGGACUACAUAAAUCGUUGGCGAACAUUGAGCUUUGAUUGUAAGGAUCAACUUUUUGAAACUUCUGCAGUUAAAGUUUGCAUUCAAGGAAUGCAUUGGGGCCUUGUGUAUAUCCUCCAAGGAAUUAAGCCUCAAACUUUUGAAGAAUUAUCUAUGCGCGCUCAUGACAUGGAGUUAAGCAUUGCAAGUCAUAGAAUGACGUCACAUAUUUUUGAUCCUAAAAAAAAAGUCACAAAAUGCAACGACUCGUCAGAGGAUCAAAUUGGGAAAUCUAUGGUGACGACUGUGAGUUCUAAGAAGGCCUUCACAAGACAAAAACUGAAAGAGAAAGCUCCAAAGCAACAAAUACAAGAAGAAGAAAAUCAACCAACCUUGAAAGAGUUACAAGCAAGGGUAAAUCCUUUUUUUGACUCUGAUGUUCCUGGAAUUCUGGAUGAGUUGCUAGCCAAAGAAUUCAUUGAACUCCCUAAUUCAAAGCGAACCGAAGAAUCAAACAAAGUCGACGAUUCUAAAUACUGCAAAUUUCACCGCAUUGUUGUUCAUCAUACUACAAAGUGCUUCAUCCUGAAGGAAAAGAUCAAGACAUUAAUUCAAGAGGAAAAGAUCAUCAUCGAUGAUGGCGAUACAGUUGAUGCAAACCAUGUUAGCGCCGAACUGGACCAUAAAAAAGAUUCAAUUUCAAAAGUUCUACAACCCAUACGCUCUGUGGCAUCAUAAAAAGGUGAGGGAAUCAUCAUGCUACAAUUUGGAAGCUUUGACCCGAUUGGGGUCCCAGCCUUGAAGAAAACAACAAGCAAAUACAUGCAAAAUGACUUCUCCAAUGGCGAGAAGGGUGGUACUUGGACACUGAUCGCUCGCAAAAGAAAAAAAAUGUCAAAGGGCUUCUAAACUCCAGUUUUCAAAAGGCGACCCAAGAUCAAAUGCAUAUCUGCUUCAACCUAUGGGGGCAAUAAAUAUCAAAUUGAAGUCCAAUAAUACUUCGUUACAAAGGAUUGGGAGGAAAGUUACAUUAUAAGAAUUCUUUCCCAAGAUGCUCCUUAAGGCACGAGCAUAAACUGCAUGCUGCUCCUCGAUGCACGAGCCUAAACUGCAAGUCAAAAUGCUCCUCGACGCACGAGCCUAAAAUGCAAGUCAAGAUGCUCCUCAAUGCACGAGCCUAAACUGCAAAUCAAACUACUCAUUAAUGCAUAAUCUUAAAUUGCAAACCACUCCUGGCCCGCAUGAGUCUAAACUGUGAAUGGCUCUACAAAAAAAAAAUAGUAAAAGAGCAAAAUAAAGAGAAGUAUGAAACUUGAAUGCAUAUUUGGAGUCCUUUGAAGAUGUCAUCUUUAAAGCAAAAGGACUCUUCAUUAUCUCCAAGCAAUGAAGUCUUCUUGACAAGUAAAAAAACUUGUGGUACUUUGAAUAUUGCUCUAGUUUGGCCUUCAUCAAAUUACAGAAGUGAUGCGUCCCAAAACUUGAAGUAGAAGAAGAAAUUCAUGAAGUAUUCAAAUCUGAUGAGAAGUAGAGUAUCACAAGAUUUAGGUUGCAACUUCAAAAAAGAAUCUGAAAAAAUAUAGAAGUUCAAUGAUGAUGGUUUUCAAGUGAAACUUAGAUCUAUAAAUCUACUUUUCAAUGCAAAAAACGGCACCUGAUUUUGAUACUUCCACGUCGAGAUAUAGAAUUUAUCGUGAUGCUGCGCAAAGCUGAAAUAACUAGCGAACCGAGAUUAGAAGGCCGGCUUUGGAGAAAUAUCUGGGACGAUUAGGCUACAAUCUGAUUCCAAUUUCCACGUGAGACUUAUCUCUGCGAAUCUACUUUUCAAUGAAAAAAACAGCACCUGAUUCCGAUAUUUCCACGUCUAGAUAUGGAAUUUCUCGUGAUGCUGCGUAAAGCUGAAAAAAAUAGCGAACCAAGAUUAGUAGGCUGUAUUUGGAGCGAUAUAUUGGAUGAUUCGGAUGCAAUAUGAUUGUGGUUUCCAAGUUAAACGUAGAUCUAUGAUUCUAGUUUCCAACUCAAAAAACGGCUCCUAAUUUUGAUGUUCCUAAGUCAAGAUAUGAGAGUUUUCGUGAGACUGCACAAAAUAAGUAAAUAGUGACGAAACAGAACUGAAGGUCUGAUUUUGAAACGAUACCUGGGCAGAUCUGGCGAUAAGAUGAGCAUGGUUUUCGCGUAGAAUGUAGCCUUGUGAGUCUACUUUUCAACACUACAAGCCGUUCGUGAUUCAGACACCUCCACGAUGCGUUAUGAAGCUUUUUCCACAGACGCGCCAAAGUGCCGAAAGCUCAAUUGUGAAAAAAGAGAGCAAAAAGAGAAGAACGGGAGUUGAAUUUCUGCUCAGGCUGAAUUACAAUGAUUUAAGGGGGUGUUGCUGUCCUUUUAUAGACUCUGAAAGGCCCUAAUUUGAUUUCAAAAAGGAUUCUGCUGAACAAAGUUGUCUUCAACAAGAAUUGAUUACGUUUAAGUGUCCAAAAUAAGUCAAAUUCAUAAUCCUUUUUGAAGUGGGAUAACAUCAUUAAUCAAUCCUAUUAAAAUUCGAUAUAGGACUAAUAGCCGAAUCCUACAUGAUUUGGAUAUAUUUAGUCUUAAACAGAAUUUACACUGGAUUCACGUUAUUCUACUCGGAUAAUCAUGACUUUGAGGAGUCGGAUGUUGACAAAAUGCUCAAAUCUAAAAAAAAAAAAAAUAGGGCUCCACAAAUACUUCAAAUCUCGUCUCUAACAAGUCCGACAAACCAAACACCUUGAUGAGCCUUGAAGUAGGGGGUAUCUGUAGACACAUAAAAUUUAUUGGGUCAAAUUCAUAUAAAAUUUGGAUUUGAUUCAUAUUUUAUUGGGCCUAAAAUUAGUUUGGGCUAUAAAAAAUGAUAAGUCCAUUUUAUUCUUCAUCAAGGACUUCAAAGUCCAUUACACUUGGAAGCCCAAACUCAUCAAGUGACGUGGCAUCCCAGUCAAAUCCAAGACCAAUGAGACGCCGCCACAUGUGCAAAUGAUGUGGAAAUCUCAUUCAAAUCCAAGAACCAGUCAAAAGUCGCCAAGUGUCAAAGUGACAUGUUUCGACCAAUCACAAGCAACUAGGCCUACCCCCUACAACUAUAAAUAGGGGUUAACAUGACAUGUUAAAGGGGAUUCUGUAAGCAUUGGAGGAAGCUUCUGCAUUGACUACACGGCUCUUCAACGAAUUGACCAACGGAGUUCUGCCCGUAGAUCAACUCGACAAGACGGAGUGUUGUCAAACAAUUCCUGGAGAUUCAAACACAUUUCUAGGAGGCUCAAAUCAUCUGAAAGUUCGAGAAUCACGCUGCAAAAGGCCCUCGAAUCACAGAAAAGCUUAGGAGGAAGAAUCAAGAGUAUCACAGAAUUGUACUCAGAUUCUUAUAAAUAAAGUUGUUAUUUUCUUUUCAUUCUUUUUUUUGCUUGCAGUUAAUUUUCAGCACAAAGAAAAUUUGUUGCAAACAAAUUUUACGUGUCUACAAUGUCUAUUUUAUUUUUCAUUAAAUAUUAUUUAUUUUCUUAAUACCUAGAUGACUUAUAAUAAUUAAUUAAGAGCGACUGAUUAUGUUAUUACUAUAAAAAUUAAUAUAAUUUUAUCAUAUCCAAUAGUAAUCAUCGAUAAUUCACUGGAAUAGUAUAUUAAUUAAAUACGGGAUGCUAUAUUUGCAUAUGCAAAAUAGGAUAUUAUUAAACAUUAUUGGAUAAUGCAUUAUAUUUAUCUUUCACAAUAAUAAAAUUUUACUAUAUAUUUUUAUUUAUUUCUUUUUAACUUGAUACAUAUUGACCCAACACAAAUUCUAAGAAAAUAUUCAUUAGAAAUUUAUUUUAUUAAAUUAAAUUUAUUAANNNNNNNNNNNNNNNNNNNNNNNNNNNNNNNNNNNNNNNNNNNNNNNNNNNNNNNNNNNNNNNNNNNNNNNNNNNNNNNNNNNNNNNNNNNNNNNNNNNNNNNNNNNNNNNNNNNNNNNNNNNNNNNNNNNNNNNNNNNNNNNNNNNNNNNNNNNNNNNNNNNNNNNNNNNNNNNNNNNNNNNNNNNNNNNNNNNNNNNNNNNNNNNNNNNNNNNNNNNNNNNNNNNNNNNNNNNNNNNNNNNNNNNNNNNNNNNNNNNNNNNNNNNNNNNNNNNNNNNNNNNNNNNNNNNNNNNNNNNNNNNNNNNNNNNNNNNNNNNNNNNNNNNNNNNNNNNNNNNNNNNNNNNNNNNNNNNNNNNNUGGCAUUGCUAAAAUAAUGAGAGUCAAUAAAUUUUCUAAAUGUCUUUUUAAUAUUUUAAGUUAUUAAUUAUUGUGGUUUGUGGUAACAAAUUAGUUUUGAACAUAAUAGCCAAUUAAAUAAAUAAAUAAAUUUUACUUUCAAUAUGUAGUUAUAGUUAAUUAAUAUAAAUUAAUAAAAUAUAUUAAAUAUUUAAAUCAUUCUAAUGAAACAAUGAAAUUAUUAUAUAUAUAUUGGGAUAUGAUAUGUAAUUAAGUGGGAGUAGAGGGGUUUUUUGGUAAUUGCAUAAGAGGUGGUCGAAACCACCUCUUCUAUAUAAUAGAAAUACAUUGGGUAUAUUGUUGUUCUUUGGAGUGAUGUUGAAGUUUCCUUGCACUUUUCACUUUUAAAUCCAACUAGUAUUAGUCUAGUCCUCAAUAUACUGAACUGCUGAUUUACCCAAGAAAAGUACUAUAGUUCUUUCUUUGCUUUUGUUUUACGUUACAUUUGUUUCAUUGUCAAAAAGUGAUUUGAUAUUGGUUCAUGUGCAAGAUCUGAUUUAUGCUGUUAUUUUUUGCAGGACAGAAAAGUACUUAGAGCUCUUAAAGGACUUGUGAAAUUGCAUGCUCUGGUAAGGGGUUUCCUUGUCCGAAAAAGAGCUGCUGCAAAUCUUCACAGCAUGAAGGCGCUCAUCAGAGCGCAGGCUGCUGUUCGAUCUCAACGAGCUCGUCGUUCAAUGACUAAUGAUAGUAGACACCAACUCGAGAUGCAAGCAUUGUAAGAAAAUAGUCCCAUUGUGUUUGUUUUUCUAGUUUGUCAUACUCCUAAUUACAUGUCUUACUCACAGUCGUUUCACAAUAAGCUACGAUCCCAUAGCGCGCCAAAGCAAAGAGCAGAGCCGGCGGGACCAAAGUGGUGUUAGAAUAUAAAAGGCUUGUUCUUAAGUGCAGGAAGAGUACUGUUUCUGAGUAAUUUUUGUUUCGCAUUGGCCUACCUUAACUUUGGGUAAUUGAAUCAUAGAUAUAAGAAGAUAUGGCUGUAUAGAGAAGAUAAUCUAAAAAGUUAAAACUUCUCUAGUGCUUAUCCUUCACAAGAAAUGGUGACAAAUUAGCAUUAGGAUAGAGUGGUGUGCUUGUGUAAAUUCUUUGACUCUGUUCUAUCAAUGAAUCUUCCUUCUUGAAUUGUAUCCAUUGAUAGGUUUUUAUGAAUCUUCGACUUCCUAAGAUUUUUCCUGGAGGAUCCAUUGGUGGCUUCCUAGAGGCCGCCUCCUUGCAUAGAAUUCUUCUGCUGCCGUGCCACUUCAAAUCGAACUUUGGCCCUUCAAACUCCAUUCUAAAAUUGAGAAAAUACAUUUGCACCAAAUACAUGGUUUAUUUGAAGAAACCAUAGCUUGUUUUGCAUCUUCUAAUGAUAAGCUUUUUCCAAUUAAUUGAUUGAAGCUCAAACUCUUAUUUUUGGAUUCCAACUGCUCCUUUGAGGUCUCUGCUUGUGCUUUCCUUUGAUUUAUAUGACGUUUGAUCUCAAGCAAGUAUUCUGUUUGCACAUGUAGAUAUUGUCAUAUCAUGUUAUUCUACAAGAUAGUCAAUUUUAUUAGGAUGAAACU